GUUAAAGGCAGUAGAAGUUGAAAACACCCUCUUGAAAACACCCUCCUCGCUUUGCUUGAAGCCUCCCCACCAUCUUCAACAUGGCUGGGGGCAUUACUGAUACAGGAGAGCUUUACUCUCCUUAUGUUGGUCUGGUUUACAUGUUCAACCUCAUCGUUGGAACAGGAGCCCUAACCAUGCCGAAGGCCUUUGCGACAGCAGGGUGGCUCGUCAGCCUUGUUCUCCUAAUGUUCCUGGGAUUUAUGAGCUAUAUGACUACGACCUUUGUGGUGGAAGCCAUGGCUGCUGCAAAUGCCCAGCUACGAUGGAAGAGAAUGGAAAAACGCAAGGAGGAUGACGAGGAUGAGGAUUCUUCCUCUGGAGUAUCUGACAGUGAUGUUCUCCUCCAAGAUGGCUAUGAGCGAGCAGAGACACGACCUAUCCUGUCAGUUCAGAGACGUGGCUCACCCAAUAUCUUUGAAAUCACUGAGAGGGUGGAAAUGGGCCAGAUGGCUUCCAUGUUCUUCAAUAAAGUGGGUGUCAACCUCUUCUAUUUCUGCAUAAUUAUCUACCUCUAUGGAGACCUGGCAAUCUAUGCAGCAGCUGUACCGGUCUCUCUCAUGCAAGUGACCUGCAGUGCCACUGGCAACCAUUCUUGCAGUGUUGGAGAUGGCACAAAGUAUAAUGAUACGGACAAGUGCUGGGGGCCAAUUCGACGAAUUGAUGCUUACAGACUGUAUCUGGCAGCAUUCACUCUCCUCCUGGGUCCUUUCACCUUCUUCAAUGUGCAGAAGACCAAGUAUCUUCAAAUCAUGACGUCCCUCAUGAGAUGGAUAGCUUUCAUCCUCAUGAUUAUUCUGGCCCUCAUCCGCAUCAGCAGAGGCCAAGCUGAAGGUCACCCGUCCGUGGCCCAGCUAUCGGGCAUCCGCAAUCUCUUUGGGGUGUGCGUCUACUCCUUCAUGUGCCAGCACUCCCUGCCAUCCCUCAUCACACCCAUCUCCAAGAAGAAGCAUGUCAACAAGCUUGUGCUGCUCGAUUACAUCCUGAUCCUGGCUUUCUACAGCCUCCUGUCCUUCACUGCCAUUUACUGCUUCCGCAAUGACACCCUCAUGGACAUGUACACGCUCAACUUCACCAACUGUGAGAUCAUCAACAUUGCCUUCAUUCGCUACUUCCUGGGCCUCUUCCCCGUCUUCACCAUCAGCACCAACUUUCCCAUCAUCGCAGUGACCCUGCGCAACAACUGGAAGACCCUUUUCCACAGAGAAGGAGGGACCUACCCGUGGGUGGUGGAUAGGAUUGUCUUUCCUGCCAUCACGCUGAUUCCCCCAGUGCUGGUGGCUUUCUGCACCCAUGAUCUGGAGUCCUUGGUGGGGAUCACGGGAGCCUAUGCUGGGAAUGGGAUACAGUAUCUCAUUCCGGCUUUCCUCGCGUACUGCAGUCGGAAGGACACUCAGCUGGUCUUUGGCAGUGGGACGGUUAACAAGCACCUCUCCCCUUUCCGGCACACUUUCUGGAUUGUGUUCGUGCUCAUAUGGGGCUUUUCUUGCUUUGUGUUUGUGACUGCAAACAUUGUCCUGAGCGAGUCAAAACUCUGAUGUGGGGGUAGCGGCAUGCUCCCUCCUGGGCUCCAGAGACUUCAGCAUUUCAGCUCCCCCUCUGGGACUGUGGAGUGGGGGAGAGGCAGUAUGAAGGGAAGUUUCCAGGCCGUUGGCUUGGUGGCACAGAGGCAUUAACCUGUUUGUGCACCACGGAUUGCCUGGGAUCUGAGAUCUUUUGCUUAGAGCUGGAAUUCUCCAGCCCAGGAGUUUACAUUCACACUUGUCAUCCUGUUCUCCUGUGCUGUGGCAACCCCAGCCGGACAGAGCAAUGCCCCUACGCAUGCAGGGAUACAACUCUUCACCCCUGGAAAGGAAACUGCAGCCUUGCUUCCCUUGGCUCCUGCAUGCAGCUCAGUGGCUUCAGCUGGCAGAGCCCUUCUCCCUUUCUUACCUUUGCACAGGGCUGGUACAACCAGCCAGACCCUGACUCCAGUGGUCAGGAUUUGUGUUGGCUGGGGAGGUGCUAAUUACCCAGUCCUGACACGUGUGAGGCCUGUAAGAGCUCUGGCUCUGCACACUGAUGCGUUUCCAGCCUCCUGUGCUGGGUAAUUAGCCUUGAAACAAGGUGGGUGUUAACUCAAGGGAAUGGGCUCGUGCCAGGAGGAAGCGGCAGUGCCCUGGCUCAGCCCUGCCUGCCUGCAGGAGCAGAGCUCCCAAGUGCUCUAGGAGAGCAAAAACUGAAACCUGCUGGAACUAGCCUUGAAUCCCCCCUUCUUCUCUUUCUGCACAGGGUUAAGGUGGGCUUUGGGCUGGUGCUGCUCAGCUUAUCUGAGAAUUGGGCUGCCUGUUACCUUAGGCAGCCAGUGCUCUAGGUGAGUCUCUGCUUUUGAGGCUACUGGUGGUCACUGUACUACCACAUGGUGACAAACAGCACUGGGUCCUGUGCUCUGAGACCCUUGGGCAAAGAUCAUAUGGGUUUUCCUAAUAAUAGGAAGAACUUUAAAAGUUUUCACCUGAAAUAUUUUAACCCCCCUGCCUUAUUAAAGCAGGUUCAAAGCCAGGUGCAUGUCACUUACAUUAGAUCCUCUUGCCCUCUGCACUUGCUGCAGUAUUAAGUGUCACCGCUUGCUAAAGCAAGCUUUGAACUGCAGCUCUUUUUAAUCAAGCUCUGUUUUCAAGUAGGACUUUCUGGUUUCCAUAUGACCUGAAGUGCUCCUCCUGGGGGAAUAUGCAAGUACCUGGAGCUGUACAAAAACACUUCAUGGCUUUUAAAGCAAAAACCUGCACCUCUCAAGCCUGAGCACUGCUACUGUGUCCUUGCCGAGCUGCUUAGAGAGGAUCCAGGGGGACUGUUUGCCUCCUCUCCAGCUUGAUCCUAGACAGGCAUUGGCAGCCCUUGCUAGUGAGUUUAAACAUCCCCAAGUGCUCCAGGGAAGCUGAUGUGGCAUCUUCGGUGCCAAAUUAACAAGUUAUUUUACAGGUAGCUGAUGUUGGUGUCUCAUUUAGGAAGAGGUAUGUUGGAGGGCAAAUUCAUGGGGCAGCUGAGCUGGGAGCCACCUGCGAGGCAGCUGGGAGCUGGGCAGAGCUGGAGGGAGGAAUUUAAUACUGAUGAAAUGAGCCUUUGGAAAGCUGGAGAGGCUGCAGGGGCUGUUCCUCUACACAAGUGCACAGGUGUGGGUUUAUGGAGGGGGCUGAGGCCUUUUGACUGCACUGUCUGCCCUAGGCUGCCCGUGCUUUGCAAGGCACUUGGCUCAGCCUCCAUCCCUUCAAGUGCCCAUUUCAAUCUCUUGCCUUCACAUUUCAUUGCCAGCCGGAGAACGGGGCUGUUCCGUUAUUCCAUCUCCUCUCAUCCUCCCUUUCCCUCUUAGUGCUGCCCUUGGUCUCCCUCCCUUCCUCCCUCUACUUCAUACAGGGUAGCCUCCCACCUGCCUUCCUUGGGGUGGGAGGAGGGAGGGAGCCCAGCCUGGCGCACCCCUCUCCUGCCAUCUCUUACAGUUAAAGAUGUGCCUUCUCUUCCCUGGCCUGGGUGACCACCUCUCCUCCUCGGCACGGUGCAUGGCAGCGACUUCUAAGGGGCCUUAGCUCUAAGAGCUGCUUGCAUCCAGGUUCUGGAUGCAGUGGUGCAGUGAGGGCUCCCAUCCUGGCCCCAGCCUUUGCCGUGGUACCUUACCGAGGACUCUGGUCCCCGAGGAGCAUGAGUGCUUUCUUAAAUAAAUAACCACAAAUUCCCAGGCACCCGCUGUCCUUGCACAGCAGCAAAACAAAUCUAUCUGAGGAAUUGGGGUGAUUAACGGAAAGAAGCUCUACGGCAGAGAGACCAUUUUUCAUAUAAAACAUGACAGCAAUGCCUUAAAAAUUACUGGAUAAGGCGGGAAGGGGAGGGCUCAGCAGAGCCAGC